rnacentral:rRNA from 1 species
UACGUAGGGUGCAAGCGUUGUCCGGAAUUAUUGGGCGUAAAGAGCUUGUAGGCGGUCUGUUGCGUCCGCUGUGAAAACUCGGGGCUUAACCCCGAGCCUGCAGUGGAUACGGGCAGACUAGAGGUAGGUAGGGGAGAAUGGAAUUCCCGGUGUAGCGGUGAAAUGCGCAGAUAUCGGGAGGAACACCGGUGGCGAAGGCGGUUCUCUGGGCCUUACCUGACGCUGAGGAGCGAAAGUGUGGGGAGCGAACAGG